AUGACGCAUCGCGCCAAAACACAAUGUGAGAGGUUACUAUAUAGGCUAUCUACGUGAACAUUAAGGAUGGACAAAUAUAAACAUAAAAGUGGGGCCUUAAGGAGAAAAUGAAACGUGGAGAAGUUAGUCACGACACAAAAUAGACCGUUUUUCUUGCCGACCUAACGUUAGUGUGAAGUACAACAACGACGUCGAAGGUGAGAGGGAAGUUUUGUCAAACAGCAGUUGCACGUCUUUGUAUGAGAAUAACAAUGCAGCUGACCGCUUGAUGAGGUGCAGAGAGUCGGGGAGCGAAGAAGCAGUCACAGACGAGCCAAAAGCUGGAUAUUCGGUGGGAAAUAUGUAAAAAAAUAUAUUAUUUGCGGAGCACAAUGUCGCAAAACAGGACUGGUAAUUCUUUCCAUCGAGAAUGCACGAAACCUUAAACACCACGUUCAUCUUGGAUGAAUUUGCCGACAGAAAGGCCCGGAGAAUGCAACUAAAAUGAUGCCUGGGAUAUCUAAGUGUCUGUCAACAGAUUCCCUUCCCCAGCCCUGACUGCAGUCAGAGUCAGACAGGCCUACAGGUCACUCGCUUUUUCAGGUGAUGAACCAUGACUUCUGCCUCUCUCACUCAGCUUUGAUGCAGAUUAAUCAAUGGAAAACCCCCUGUGAGGAAGGAA